rnacentral:lncRNA from 1 species
CGCGAGCUGGACGCUCCGCAGCCCGCCCGCCAGCCGGCCCGCCGGCCGCCGCAGGAAUCCCUGGAUAAAGACCAGCUCAACCAUCGCUGAGAAAACAGACCUAGGCUUCCCAGGGCGGUUAACCCGCCGGCCUCUGGGCAGAGACUGUAAGUUGGGGUCGUGUUUGGGAGACUCGGGACCCUAUUUCCAAGGAGAACUGUGGGGGACAUGUUUAUGUUUGUUGUUUUCAAAAUCAAGCAAAGGAAACAACAGCCAAUUAAAAUGAAAUAUUUUUAUUCCCCUCGCACGUCGUCAGUGAUUUGCCCCCAGGGAUUCACAAUUUUCCCAAGCCUGUUAACGGGUGACAAUGAGUGAGUGCCUCCUGUAAUUUAAUUUUCC